UGCCAUGCUGACAUUUACUGCAUCACUACAACAAGAUUUAAAAAUUCAAAACAAAAGAGGCUAUCGUUUGUUAAAAGUGGGUUAGCAAUAAGUUAAAACGGCUUGUGACAAAAGGAAAGAUAAAUAAAUUCAAGGACAAACCAACAUUUUCAGAGCAAUGACGAAAGUUUGCCGAGUCUGCCUGGCAAAAUCGAGACCCAUGAUCAAUAUAUUUGACAAUACAAUAGAACCUGGAGUUCAAAUUGCAAGUAGGCUCUCUGAGUUUACAGAAUUUGCCGUUUCUAGAGGAGAUUCAUUUCCGGAAAACAUUUGCCCGUCUUGCCUUCACGACUUUCAAAUCGCAUUUCACUUCAAAGAAAAAUAUGAAAGAAGCCUAAAUACAUUUAAGAAAAGAUUAGGCCACCAGGGUUACUUCAUAAUACCAGAUGAUGAGUUCUCGACAUCAGCGGAAGUGAAGCCAGAGGAAACCGAUAAUGAAUUUCGGGAGGAAGAAAUUAUUGUUAAGAACGAACCAAUAGAUAAUGAUCUAUUCGAGAAUGAAUUUUUCCAGAUUGUAAAGAACACUGACAUUACCAAACUUCAUAAUGUGGUUUCAUCAAUAAUAAAGUCAGCUCAAGAGGAACUAAUUUCUGGGUUAAAAGAAGAAAACAAAGAAAUCAAAGCUAAGCUUGAAAAACUUUCAAAGGAUUUUUAUACGCUUGCGAGCAAAAAAAAACAAAAAGGACGAUGCAGACGAGCCCGAAGGUAUCAUUAGUUUUCCCAUUAAAAAUAUGGCCGAGUUGGACAAGUUUGAGACGAUGUUUUUACCAGAACAUAAGGACAUUUAUGUUAAGAAGCUAAAAGUUCUUAUGUCCCGCGGUCCGCUUUCAAAGAAAUUUAAAAAUAUCAUGGACGAGUACCUUUUAACCAAUUUCAAUUUAGAAGGAAGUUCUGGUAAACUGUCCCUUAAGUCCCGAAAGGCUUUUUAUUCUGUCCUGGAAGAAGCGACAAAAUUAGUUUAUCCAAAUGAUUCGGUCAGGAAGGUGCUUCAAAAAGCCUUUUUAAACAUAAAAAACAAGAUAAUUAAAAGAAAUUCAAGAUUAAGAUCAGAAUUUCGGCAAACAAAAAAUAAUCAAAAAAAUAAUGAUAAUACCAUAACAUUUUACAACUGCAAAUAAGGGAACAAAUAUUACCAAACUUUAAAAGGAGAACAUCAAAAUUUUCAUUUGUCAGUGCUGUUACAAACCGAUCACCUGUUACUUUUUAAGAACAAAAUAAAUGAAAUGUGAUGUCUACUCCAGCUCUGAUUUUAUGAACUGCAGUUAUAGAUUUAAAUUUUUUCGGACUUGAUUGCUUCCAAACUCGAUUGCUGUCACGGAUCACCGAUCAACUCAAUUAAAAAUAAAUAAAAAAAUAAAAAAUCAUA